rnacentral:rRNA from 1 species
CAGUAGCCGCGGGAAUACGGAGGGAGCUAGCGUUAUUCGGAAUUACUGGGCGUAAAGCGCACGUAGGCGGCUUUGUAAGUUAGAGGUGAAAGCCUGGAGCUCAACUCCAGAAUUGCCUUUAAGACUGCAUCGCUUGAAUCCAGGAGAGGUGAGUGGAAUUCCGAGUGUAGAGGUGAAAUUCGUAGAUAUUCGGAAGAACACCAGUGGCGAAGGCGGCUCACUGGACUGGUAUUGACGCUGAGGUGCGAAAGCGUGGGGAGCAAACAGGAUUAGAGACCCCAGUAGUCCCUGUCUCUUAUAC